UUUUAGAAACACACCUGUGAAAGCUGUGCCUCUCUGCUGCGUUUCAGAUAAUGGUCAGUGAUGCUGAAAGAAAUAUAUGCAGGAGAAAGCAAGCAAGGGCUGCUGAGAAGCCUGUGGGGCUGGAGCAUAACAGAGGAAGACGGGACGAGCUGAGAAAAAACAACAGAGAGGAAAAUCUUGGAGUUUCUGGCCAUCAGAGCAAAAAGGGACUGAAGGGAUUCUGAUUCUUUAACAGAUUCGACUUCAAAUGUGCAAGUGACAAAAACUGGUACCUCAGGAUAAUCCUGCCUCUCAUUAGUGGACUGCCUGAAAAUAAGCUGGUUUUGGGGAAGAGUACAAAAACCCCACGGGAGAAGAGAUGCGUAAUAUUUCAGCUGUUCACUGUCUGCUUUGUUGCAGAAAGUAUCUUUAUGGUCACAUGUUUGAAAGGAUUAGGAGGUGUAAGCAGUGACCCUCCGAGUGCUUCAGACAGAGAACUGCAAAUCUGGGGGAUUUUCAGUGCUCUGUGGUCUGGUGACAUGCAGUGUGAUGCCAGAGUAUGCUACCUCUCUGUGGGAUAGCUAUCCCAAUUUAAAAGCUACCUGCUAAAACUCUUGUUAAGACAUGGCAAUUUGUUUUAAACUGGCUGCUAGUUUUGUAAGAGCCAAGACUCUUGGGUAGGGUUGUGAAUAAGUGUGCAAGUGGCUGAACUUGAAGAGCUCACCUCAGCAGUUCCUAUCAGUAACUAACAAUCGACUGCACCGUUAUCGUGAUAUCUAUACUUUAUCCAAUGAAAGUGUCAUUUAAGUCAAUUUAAUUAGGUUUGAGUUAACAUCUCCUGGGAGCACAUUACAUCUUUUAAAGAUAUCAUUCCAGGCAAGCAGUAGCUUUAGACUGGCACUGCUUCAUUGGUUAAAUUCAUGUAUUUUCAGUUACUGUCAUAACCGUAAGGGCUGAGAGUUGGUUAAAAAAAAAAAAGUGUAGUCUAGAGCAUAAUGACGUGAUAGCUUUUUAAUAAACUGGCAAAUACAUACGUACUAACCUCGCCCUACUAUCUUGCUGUAUCAGGGUCCUGCUGUCUCUUUCAGGGCAGGUGGAUUGGUGAGAAAUGCAACUUGUUUAUUAAAU